rnacentral:rRNA from 1 species
CCUACGGGGGGCAGCAGUGGGGAAUAUUGGACAAUGGGGGGAACCCUGAUCCAGCCAUGCCGCGUGUGUGAAGAAGGCCCUCGGGUUGUAAAGCACUUUCAGUGAGGAAGAACGCCUGGUGGUUAAUACCCAUCAGGAAAGACAUCACUCACAGAAGAAGCACCGGCUAACUCCGUGCCAGCAGCCGCGGUAAUACGGAGGGUGCGAGCGUUAAUCGGAAUUACUGGGCGUAAAGCGCGCGUAGGUGGCUUGAUAAGCCGGUUGUGAAAGCCCCGGGCUCAACCUGGGAACGGCAUCCGGAACUGUCAAGCUAGAGUGCAGGAGAGGAAGGUAGAAUUCCCGGUGUAGCGGUGAAAUGCGUAGAGAUCGGGAGGAAUACCAGUGGCGAAGGCGGCCUUCUGGACUGACACUGACACUGAGGUGCGAAAGCGUGGGUAGCAAACAGGAUUAGAUAUCCGGGUAGUC